rnacentral:rRNA from 1 species
GAUCCUGGCUCAGGAUGAACGCUGGCGGCGUGCCUAAUACAUGCAAGUCGAGCGAACAGACGAGGAGCUUGCUCCUCUGACGUUAGCGGCGGACGGGUGAGUAACACGUGGAUAACCUACCUAUAAGACUGGGAUAACUUCGGGAAACCGGAGCUAAUACCGGAUAACAUGUUGAACCGCAUGGUUCAACAGUGAAAGACGGUCUUGCUGUCACUUAUAGAUGGAUCCGCGCCGCAUUAG